rnacentral:snoRNA from 1 species
ACGUUCUUUUUGUUGGUUUUACUUUUACUUUGUGCGCUGCGCUUUGAAAUUCAAAUAAAAACUCAAAAAACUU